rnacentral:rRNA from 1 species
UACGUAGGGUGCAAGCGUUAAUCGGAAUUACUGGGCGUAAAGCGUGCGCAGGCGGUUUUGUAAGUUUGUCGUGAAAGCCCCGGGCUCAACCUGGGAAUUGCAUUUGAGACUGCGUAGCUAGGGUGCGGAAGAGGGAAGCGGAAUUUCCGGUGUAGCGGUGAAAUGCGCAGAUAUCAGGAGGAACACCGGUGGCGAAGGCGGGUCUCUGGGCCGAUAUUGACGCUGAGGAGCGAAAGCGUGGGGAGCAAACAGG